rnacentral:rRNA from 1 species
UGGGGAAUAUUGGACAAUGGGCGAAAGCCUGAUCCAGCCAUGCCGCGUGUGUGAAGAAGGUCUUCGGAUUGUAAAGCACUUUAAGUUGGGAGGAAGGGUUGUAGAUUAAUACUCUGCAAUUUUGACGUUACCGACAGAAUAAGCACCGGCUAACUCUGUGCCAGCAGCCGCGGUAAUACAGAGGGUGCAAGCGUUAAUCGGAAUUACUGGGCGUAAAGCGCGCGUAGUUGGUUUGUUAAGUUGGAUGUGAAAGCCCCGGGCUCAACCUGGGAACUGCAUCCAAAACUGGCAAGCUAGAGUACGGUAGAGGGUGGUGGAAUUUCCUGUGUAGCGGUGAAAUGCGUAGAUAUAGGAAGGAACACCAGUGGCGAAGGCGACCACCUGGACUGAUACUGACACUGAGGUGCGAAAGCGUGGGGAGCAAACA